rnacentral:rRNA from 1 species
CGGGGGGAGCAAGCGUUGUUCGGAUUUACUGGGCGUAAUGGGCGCGUAGGCGGCGCAACAAGUCACUUGUGAGAUCUCCGGGCUUAACCCGGAGCGGCCAAGUGAUACUGUCGUGCUAGAGUGCGGAAGGGGCUACUGGAAUUCUCGGUGUAGCGGUGAAAUGCGUAGAUAUCGAGAGGAACACCUGCGGCGAAGGCGGGUAGCUGGGCCGACACUGACGCUGAGGCGCGAAAGCCAGGGGAGCGAACGGGAUUAGAUACCCCGGUAGUCCUGGCCUUAAACGAUGGAUACUUGGUGUCCGGGGUUACAUAGUCCCCGGGUGCCGGCGCUAACGCAUUAAGUAUCCCGCCUGGGGAGUACGGUCGCAAGACUG